AAUGAACGCUGGCGGCAUGCCUAACACAUGCAAGUCGAACGAGACCACCGUGUGUAGUGGCGCACGGGUGCGUAGCGCGUGGGAACCUGCCCUUAGGUUCGGAAUAACACUCCUUCGGGGGUGCUAAUACCGGAUAACUUCCUCGGACCACAUAUCUAACGCCUUUGGGAGCGCCCGGGUUGGUUUAGCCUGUCGGUAGUGUAAAAGCCGACGACGGGGACGAUCCAUAGCUGGUCUGAGAGACAGAUCCGCCACUCUGGGACUGUGACACGGCCCGGAAUCCUACGGGAGGGAGCAGUGGGUGAUAUUGCACUACCGGCUGGAGCCUGAACCAGCAAUGCCGCGAGAGUGCUGUUGUUCUUAGGGUUGUACAGCUCGUUUACCCGCCAUGAUAAUGACGGUACCGAAAGAAUAAGCUCCGGCUAACUCCGUG
rnacentral:rRNA from 1 species